CGCCUGGGGAGUACGGCCGCAAGGUUAAAACUCAAAUGAAUUGACGGGGGCCCGCACAAGCGGUGGAGCAUGUGGUUUAAUUCGACGCAACGCGAAGAACCUUACCUGGCCUUGACAUCCAGAGAGCUUUCCAGAGAUGGAUUGGUGCCUUCGGGAACUCUGAGACAGGUGCUGCAUGGCCGUCGUCAGCUCGUGUCGUGAGAUGUUGGGUUAAGUCCCGUAACGAGCGCAACCCCUAUCCCUGGUUGCUAGCAGGUAAUGCUGAGAACUCCAGGGAGACUGCCGGUGACAAACCGGAGGAAGGUGGGGAUGACGUCAGGUCAUCAUGGCCCUUACGGCCAGGGCUACACACGUGCUACAAUGGCGCGUACAGAGGGCUGCCAACUCGCGAGAGUGAGCCAAUCCCUUAAAACGCGUCGUAGUCCGGAUCGGAGUCUGCAACUCGACUCCGUGAAGUCGGAAUCGCUAGUAAUCGCGAAUCAGAAUGUCGCGGUGAAUACGUUCCCGGGCCUUGUACACACCGCCCGUCACACCAUGGGAGUGGAUUGCACAGAAGUAGUUAGUCUAACCUUCGGGAGGACGAUUACCACGGUGUGGUUCAUGACUGGGGUGAAGUCGUAACAAGGUAACCGUA
rnacentral:rRNA from 1 species